rnacentral:SRP_RNA from 1 species
GCUGGGCAGAGUGACGUGUGCCUGUAGUCCCAGCUACUCAGGAGGCUGAGGCUAAAGGAUCGCUUGAGUCCAUGAGUUUUGGGCUAUAGUGUGCUAUGCCAAUGGGGUGUUGACUCUAAGUUCAGCAUCAAUAUGGUGACCUCCCAGGAGCGGAGGACCACCAGGUUGCCUAAGGAGGGGUGAACCAGCCCAGGUCAGAAAUGGAGCAGGUCAGAACUUCCAUGCUGAUCAGUAGUGGGAUCGCGCCUGUGAAUAGCCACUGCACUCCAGCCUGGGCAACAUAGCAAGACCCUGUCUCU